ACUCUCAGGAAGCUAGAACAAUUGAACGGCCACCGCAGGCUAUCACAAAAGUUGAAUCUAAACAAGGAUUUCAAUUGGGUUCUUCUUCAAGAAGUGUUGUUCAAAAUUCACACUCUCAUGAAGCAAGAACAAUUGAACGACCACCACAGGCUAUCACAAAAGUUGAAUCCAAACAAGGAUUUCAAUUGGGUUCUUCUUCAAGAAGUGGUGUUCCAAAUUCACACUCUCAUGAAGCAAGAACAAUUGAACGACCACUUCAGCCUAUCACAAAAGUUGAAUCCAAACCAGGAUUUCAAUUGGGGUCUUCUUCAAGAAGUGUUGUUCCAAAUUCACACUCUCAUGAAGCAAGAAGAGUUGAACGCCCACUACAGGGUGUCACAAAAACUGAGACUACCAAUCAGCUACAUGG
rnacentral:lncRNA from 1 species